GAUGAACGCUGGCGGCGUGCCUAAUACAUGCAAGUCGAGCGAACAGACGAGGAGCUUGCUCCUCUGACGUUAGCGGCGGACGGGUGAGUAACACGUGGAUAACCUACCUAUAAGACUGGGAUAACUUCGGGAAACCGGAGCUAAUACCGGAUAAUAUAUUGAACCGCAUGGUUCAAUAGUGAAAGACGGUUUUGCUGUCACUUAUAGAUGGAUCCGCGCCGCAUUAGCUAGUUGGUAAGGUAACGGCUUACCAAGGCAACGAUGCGUAGCCGACCUGAGAGGGUGAUCGGCCACACUGGAACUGAGACACGGUCCAGACUCCUACGGGAGGCAGCAGUAGGGAAUCUUCCGCAAUGGGCGCAAGCCUGACGGAGCAACGCCGCGUGAGUGAUGAAGGUCUUCGGAUCGUAAAACUCUGUUAUUAGGGAAGAACAGAUGUGUAAGUAACUAUGCACGUCUUGACGGUACCUAAUCAGAAAGCCACGGCUAACUACGUG
rnacentral:rRNA from 1 species